rnacentral:rRNA from 1 species
AUGAUCGGAAAACUCAAGUUGCAGGAGCGGGAGGAAGACGAUCUGAUCUUUGAAGAGGAGUUCCCGGAUGAGAUCGAGGAAGCGGAGUUCAUGGCGCUGGCGACGGUGCAUACGAACAAGCCCUUCAGCAGGGGGUUGUUCUAUGAUACGAUGAGGCUCGCCUGGAGCCUAGCAAAGGGUGUAACUUUCAAACCAUUAGGUGAGAAUCUAUUCUCUUUGACGGUGAACUGUUUGGGAGAUUGGAAGAAGAUCACGGAGGAGGGGCCGUGGCUGUUUCGUGAUCAUGGAGUGCUAAUUGAGAAGUAUGAUGGAUAUACCAAAUAUGAUGAGGUCGUGCUGGAUAAACUGGCAGUUUGGAUUCAGAUUGUUGAUCUCCCUCUGCUCUACAGGAAGGAUAACGUUGUUCGAUCGCUGGCAAAAAAGGUAGGAACGGUGGCGAAGGUAAUGCUAAAUCCC